UACGUAGGCAGCGAGCGUUGUUCGGAGUUACUGGGCGUAAAGGGUGUGUAGGCGGUCCUCUAAGUUUGGUGUGAAAUCUCCCGGCUCAACCGGGAGGGUGCGCCGAAAACUGGAGGGCUAGAGUGCGGGAAGGGAGAGUGGAAUUCCUGGUGUAGCGGUGAAAUGCGUAGAUAUCAGGAGGAACACCGGUGGCGAAGGCGGCAUCCUGGACCAACACUGACGCUGAGUGAGCGAAAGCCAGGGAGCAAACGGG
rnacentral:rRNA from 1 species